AUACGUAGGGGGCGAGCGUUGUCCGGAAUGAUUGGGCGUAAAGGGCGCGUAGGCGGCGCGGUAAGUCUGGAGUGAAAGUCCUGCUUUCAAGGUGGGAAUUGCUUUGGAUACUGCCGCGCUUGAGUGCAGGAGAGGUUAUCGGAAUUCCCGGUGUAGCGGUGAAAUGCGUAGAGAUCGGGAGGAACACCAGUGGCGAAGGCGGGUAACUGGACUGCAACUGACGCUGAGGCGCGAAAGUGUGGGGAGCAGACAGGAUUAGAUACCCUGGUAGUCCACACUGUAAACGAUGAAUGCUAGGUGUAAGAGGUAUCGACCCCUUUUGUGCCGGAGUUAACACAAUAAGCAUUCCGCCUGGGGAGUACGGUCGCAAGAUUGAAACUCAAAGGAAUGGGCGGGG
rnacentral:rRNA from 1 species